GCCUGCAUAGCUCAGUGGUAGAGCACUAGUUUUGUAAACUAGGGGCCGGGGGUUCGAAUCCCUCUGCAGGCU
rnacentral:tRNA from 1 species